rnacentral:rRNA from 1 species
AUUGAACGCUGGCGGCAGGCCUAACACAUGCAAGUCGAACGGUAACAGGAAGAAGCUUGCUUCUUUGCUGACGAGUGGCGGACGGGUGAGUAAUGUCUGGGAAACUGCCUGAUGGAGGGGGAUAACUACUGGAAACGGUAGCUAAUACCGCAUAACGUCGCAAGACCAAAGAGGGGGACCUUCGGGCCUCUUGCCAUCGGAUGUGCCCAGAUGGGAUUAGCUAGUAGGUGGGGUAACGGCUCACCUAGGCGACGAUCCCUAGCUGGUCUGAGAGGAUGACCAGCCACACUGGAACUGAGACACGGUCCAGACUCCUACGGGAGGCAGCAGUGGGGAAUAUUGCACAAUGGGCGCAAGCCUGAUGCAGCCAUGCCGCGUGUAUGAAGAAGGCCUUCGGGUCGUAAAGUACUUUCAGCGGGGAGGAAGGGAGUAAAGUUAAUACCUUUGCUCAUUGACGUUACCCGCAGAAGAAGCACCGGCUAACUCCGUG